rnacentral:rRNA from 1 species
AGUCAAUAGAUACCCUGGUAGUCCAUGCCGUAAACGAUGAUUGCUAGGUGUGGGGGGUCUGACCCCUUCCGUGCCGGAGUUAAACACAAUAAGCAAUCCACCUGGGGAGUACGGCCGCAAGGUUGAAACUCAAAGGAAUUGACGGGGGCCCGCACAAGCAGUGGAGUAUGUGGUUUAAAUUCGAAGCAACGCGAAGAACCUUACCAGGUCUUGACAUCCACCGAAUCCUGUAGAGAUACGGGAGUGCCCUUCGGGGAACGGUGAGACAGGUGGUGCAUGGUUGUCGUCAGCUCGUGUCGUGAGAUGUUGGGUUAAGUCCCGCAACGAGCGCAACCCUUGUGAAUAGUUGCUACGAAAGAGCACUCUAUUCAGACCGCCGUUGACAAAACGGAGGAAGGUGGGGAUGACGUCAAAUCAUCAUGCCCCUUAUGACCUGGGCUACACACGUACUACAAUGGCCGUUAACAGAGGGAUGCAAUGCCGCGAGGUGGAGCGAACCCCUAAAAACGGUCUCAGUUCAGAUUGCAGGCUGAAACUCGCCUGC